rnacentral:rRNA from 1 species
GACGAACGCUGGCGGCGUGCUUAACACAUGCAAGUCGAACGGUGAAGCGCUUUCCUUUUUGGCGGGUGUGGAUGAGUGGCGAACGGGUGAGUAACACGUGAGUAACCUGCCCUUUUCUUCUGGAUAACCGCAUGAAAGUGUGGCUAAUACGGGAUAUUCUGUGUCUGUGGCAUGAUGGGUCCGGGAAAGCUUUUGUUUCGGUGGGGGCUGGGCUCGCGGUCUAUCUGCUUGUUGGUGGGGUGAUCGCCUACCAAGGCGAUGAGGGGUAGCUGGCCUGGGAGGGUGGGCGGUCACAGUGGGACGGAGACGCCGCCCAGACUCCGACAGGAAGCAGCAGUGAAGAAUAGAGCACAGUGGGAAGAAUGCUGCAGCCGCGACGCGGCGGUAGAGAUGGCGUCCUGCGGGUUGUGAACCUCUUUCGGCAGUGAAACGCGCCUGCCUCGUAUGUGGGUGGGUUGACGGUAGCUGGAUAAGAAGCACCGGCUAACUACGUG